GGGGUAUUCUGGUUGCCUUACCCAGCUCUGAAGUCUGUCAGCCUCUUCAGAUGUCACUUGCCAUGUGGUAAGGAAGUGUAGUCAGCAGCUGGUGCAGUGGGAAGAAGAGAAAGGAAGUUCCCCAAGACAAAAACAUCUCGGCAGACCGUGAUCAUGGGCUACAUUCUCCGUACCAGCUUCAUAGCUCCAGUGAGAAAAUAAAUUCCUGCAUCCAGGAGAUGUGGAGUAAGAGAUACAGCUGCCCUUGACCAUAUUUCUUACUUCCGAGAAGAUCGUAGCAGUAAUUCAGUACAGUCUUCAGGGAACACCAAGGCCUGUUUGAUUUUCCAAGUAUCAACAAGUGGAGUUGACAAGAGUGACAAGUGGUCAGAGCAAAGCAUUUCAUGAUGACUGUAACGUGCCUGUGUCAGCAGCGACUGCUUACAGUGAGAUUCACAUGACCAUCGUUUAUGACAUAGGAAGAAUAAAAGGAGAGAGAGAGAGAAAGAUAGGUAGUUGAUCAAAAUGAAGAAUUGGAUUUGGAAAGCAACUUCGAAUAGUCUCUGCUUAUAUUUCUGAGAUUAAGGCAAACAGUCUCAAGAAUCUCAUCCAGGAUACCUCAUCACAGGCUGGAGUGCAGUGUCAUGAGCUUGGCUCACUACAGCCUCCAUCUUCUGUGCUUAAGGAUCCUUCCCUCUCAACCUCCAAGGUAGCUGAGACUACAGGUAUGUGCCACCAUGCUGGACUAAUUUAUUGUUGUUGUUGUUGUUUGUUAGAUUUUUGGUAGAGGCAAGGUUUCACCAUGUUGCCCAGGCCAGAGUCAAACUCCUGGGCUCAAGUGAUAUUUAUUUUGUUAUAGAGAUGGGGUCUUAAUGUGGUGCCCAGGCUAGUCUGGGAUUACAGGUGUGAGCCACUGUGCCUUGCCAAAAACUGCCAUUCUCAUCAUAUCGUACCAAGAGUACAAACUCAACAAGGGUACAAACUGUCAACCAGAGUAGACAUUCAUUAUUGGCAGAAUGUCUACAAAUUCCUUUAAACCUUCACCAUAAACAUGUGCCUACUCUCUUCCAAUUAUUUCAUGUGUAUUAAUUUAUUCAUUUAUACAUGCAUCUUUUAUUUAUAUCAUUAUCUAAAUAUGGAGAUUUAUUUUACAAUGCGUAUGUGCUAUUUUUUUUUUUUUGAGACAGAGCCUUUCUCUGUUGCCCAGGCUGGAGUGCAAUGGUGCGAUCUCAGCUCAUCGCAACCUCUGCCCCCUGGGUUCAAGCGAUUCUAGUGCCUCAGUUUCCUGACUGGCUGGGAUUACAGGCAUGAGACACUACACCUGGCUAAGUUUUGUGUUUUUAGUAGAGACAGGGUUUCACCAUGUUGGCCAGGUUGGUCUUAAACUCCAUACCUCAGAUGAUCCACCCUCCUCGGCCUCCCAAAGUGCUGGGAUUACAGGCAUGAGCCACCAUGCUUGGCCGCUAUUUUUUUUUUUAAUUGCACAAAUUGUUCCAGUGUUGGCUAUUGGAAGGUUUUUAAGUUGUCUCUUGUAUCACUUUGAAAUACCUCCAUAAUUAAAGUUUGAUGUUGUGUGGUUGGUUGGUUUUGUUGUUGUUUGGCAUUUUCUUUUGUUCAGUCACUAUUAUAUGCUCCAGUCUAUGAAUUUAAUUGUGCUCCAGGGUAAUUUGGUAAUUUUAUAAUUUCUACGAAUGUUUCCAACACCAUAUGACCUAAUCCAGCACCAUAUAAAUGGAUCCACUCAUUCUCUCAUUUGUAUGUAAUCUAGCACUCCCUGCAAGCAAGUUGAUGUUGUUAAUUUAAUCAUGCUACCUGAACAAGGUAUAUUGCUAUGUAGAAAAAUACAAGUUGAAACAGUCAAAAUACUGUGUAAUUCCAUUCAUAUGACUCUGUAGAAAAGGAAAAAGUGUAGUGAUAGUAGAGUUCAGUGGUAACAAGGGGCUUGGGAGAGAUAUAGGUGACAUCAGUGAACUACCGAAGAUUUCUUUUGGGCAGUGAAAUUCCUCUUUGAUACUGUAACGGUGGAUACAUCAUAAUGUUUUCCAAAUCCUGAAGAACUUUGUAACACAAAGAGUGUAGCUAAUUUAUGCAAAUUAAAAACCUUAUUUAGGAGGUCACAAGUUUGCCUUUUCACAGUAUUUUACCUUUUCCAACUUAUAUUUUUUAGCAAUAUGCUUUUUAGAUUUUUGAAGUACACCUCAUGGUUUUUAGAUUUGCCUUCACCUAAUUGUUGUAGGACAGGUGAGUCACACAAUUGGGGCUUAUCCUGAGAGGGUUAUUAGCUUUGUCCAGGAAAGAAUUUAAGGGCAAGUGGGUGAUGUUAGACUGCAAUAUUUUAUUGAAUGGUACUGCUCCUAGCAGAGCAGGGCUAACUCUUAAGCAGUGUGUUCAGAGUUGGCAACAUAUAGGCCUCCUGGCAACUGUGUUUAUAUGCAAUCAAACCCACUUUUAAUUAUAUGCAAAUUGAGGGGCAGAUCAAUGCAAAUUGAGGCAGGAAAGGGGCAGUGACUUCUAGGUUGUCUCCAUGGAAAGGGGCAGUAACUUCUGAGCUGUAGCCAUGGAAUUUGUAAACAGUUAUGUGGUUGGUAGGAGUGUCAUAUGAGUGACAAAUGAAGACUGCCAGGGAUCACAUUUACCACAAUGUACACGCUUCUGUCAGUUUUUUCCCUUUAUCCUGUCUGGAGCAGAUCUUAUUUUGGUCAUCAAGGUUGUGAAACCAGAAAACAAGUCCUUCCAGUCUCCUACCUCAUAAUGACAAAAGACAUUGAGCAUAAUUUCAUGUGAUUUUGGAUAUGACUAUGGCUUUCUUUUGAGAGUUGGCUAUUUAAGAUUUUGCCAUUUUUGAUUGGGAUAUUUGCCUUUUUAAUUUUGAGUUGUAAGACAUUGUAUAUUCUGGAUAAUAGACCAUUAUCACCUAUAAAAUUUGCAAUUUUCACAUAUUUUCUGCCAUUCUUUGGGUGCCUCUUUAUAUUUGAUGGUGGACUUUAAAUUGCAAAAGAUUUUAAUUCUAAUGAAGUUUAAUAUUUCUAUAUUUUCUUCUUUCCUUUGUGCUUUUCAGUGUCAUAUCUUAAAACAUUGUUUAACCAGAGACCACAAAGAUGUAUUCCUGUGUUCCUUUUUAUGGGUUGGCCCUGUUUAGCUCUUAUAUUUAGAUGGAUUAUCAUUUUGAGUCAAUUAUGUUUCUGGUAUGAGGCAAGAGUCUAACUUGCAUGUGGAUAUCCACUUGACCCACAAACAUUUGACAAGAAAAUAUUGCUUCAUACCUAAUUUAUUUGGCCACAGUAUAAAAGCAUUUCACCAUAAAUGUAGGGAUUCAUUUUUCAGUAUUAUAUUCUCUACUCCAUUGAUCAAUACAUAUAUCCCUAUACUAGUACCACAAAUCUUGAUUACUAUUACUUUGUAGUAAGUUUUGCAAUCAAGAAGCAUAUGUCUACUAUGCAAACCCUUUUUGUCCUUCUCAAGAGUGUUUUGGCUGCUCAUGAUCUAUAUUAUAUAUAAUUUUAGGAUAAACUUCUGAAUUUAGGGGAAGGUAAUGCCACCUGGUGUUUUGAGAGAAGUUGCAUUAAUUCUAUAGAUCCAUUUGGAAAAUAUUGCCAACCUAACAAUAUGCAUUCUGUAGUUUUUAGUGUACAUAUCUUAUACUUAAUUUGAUAAGGUUAUUCCUAAGUAUUUUUGAUGUGAUCUUAAUUGGAACGAUUUUCUGAGUUUUGUUUUUAGAUUGUUAAUUGCUAGUAUAGAGAAAUUUAAAAUAUUUUAUAUAUUUUAUAUGCUGCAAACUUCUUUGAACUCAUCUUUAAAUUCUAAACAUAUUUGAUAGAGUCCUUUGGACUUUUUAUACAUGAGAUCAUGUCAUUUGCAAACAGUCGGAGUUUGACUUCCUUUCCAUACUAGAAACGUUAUAUUUAUUUUUCUAAAUGAAUUGCCCUGUCUACAUUCUCCAGUACAAUGUUGCGAACAAGUGUCAACAGUGGAAAUAUUUGACUUCUUUCUAAUAUCAGAGAAAUUAGUGAACCUUUCAGAUUACUUAUGAUGAUAUGUGAGCUUUUCAUAGAUGCCCUUUGAAAUGAAGAAAGUUCUCUUAUCUGCCUAAUUUGCUGCAUGUUUUUAUAAUACUGAAUCUGGGAAUUUUCAAGUGCUUGUUGCACACCUUCUGAGACGAUUGUGUAGUUUUUAUUCUUUAUUAAUAUAGUGUAUGACAUUAAUUGUAUCAUAUGUUGAACCAAAUUUGCAUUCCUGAGGUAAAUACCUUUUGCCAUAGUUUAUAAUACUUUCUACAUGUUGCUGAUUUCAUUUGAUAAUAUCUCGCUGCUGAUUUUUGUCUCUGUAUUUAUAAGGCAUAUUGGUCUUCAUUCUCCUUAUUUGAAAUGUCUUUGUGUAGUUGUUCAAUCAGGGUAAACUAAUUCAUAGUAUACAAUGGGAAGUGAUCUAUUUUCUACUUCUUUAUUAUUAUUGUAUUGUUUUGAAAUAUUUUUGAUAAAUUAGUAUUAAUUUUAAGUGAUUUUAAUAACACAUCAAUGAGUUCCUGAUGAGGGCAGGGAGGUGAAUCCUAAGAACAAUCAUGUGAGUUUGGAAGGAGACCCUUCCCCAGCUGAGCCUCAGCCUGAGCCAUCCCCUACAUCUAGACCGAAGACCCAGAGAAACCGCAACAUUCGAAACCCAGGUGCCACUCCUUCAGGAAGGUACCAUCAAGCUCCAAGGACUCAUCCUCUUUCUCCUUCCCCACUACCUAGUCAUUAGAGCGUCAGCAUCCACUUCCUGAAAGGAAGAUGCCUGUUUUUCACAUAUCCCAGAAAGCCUCAUUUUAGGACAGCAUUUAGCAGAGUGUAUUCAGGAUCCCACUAACCUUUUCGGAAGACAUGACUUCCAGAUGAUAUAAGGCAAGAAUAAGAAAUUUCAGUGACAGGGAACAGAAAUCAUAUUUCUGCAUUCAGGAUCAUGUUUUCUUGGCUCCAUCAGGAACUGUGCAGGACUGUGCACUCUGUUGAUACUCACAUGGUGGAAUUAUAUUGCCCUUGGCCAACCCUAAAGCCAUCAAGAUAGCAGGUUUGGAAUAAUUCACUGUCGAAGUCUUCUUGAGCUGAGCAGUCAUGUGAGCUUGGAAGAUGAUCCCUCUCCAGCUGAUCCUUCAGCUCAGGCCAUCAUCUACAUCUGGAUUCCUGACCCGGAGAAACUAUGAGUAAUGUGUGCUGCUUUUGAGCCACUAAGCUACAUGAAUUAAUGAAGGAUCAUUAUUAAGUUUUUAAUGGGUCAAGAGAAAGUUACCACUGAGGUCUUCUCUACCUGGGCAACAAUUGACUCCUAACAACCACUAUAAGCUUGGAAGAUGAUCCCUCCCCAGCUGAUCCUUCAGGCUCAGACUUUGACAGUCCUCUGAUAUACUUUAUAUGUAAAUAGAUGGCUGAGUGUUCUGGCUGAUGAACAUGGGUUACUUAACCAGAGUUAAGCGAGGACUUUCUCACCUGAAACCACCAAGAGACACAAAAGCCAGAAAAGGACAGAAAUUAAUUCAAGGGUCAACAAAUAGAGUCGGCUUUCUUUAAGACCUGAAGUGUAGAAGUCUAGGUUGAACCCUAGGUUGAUUACGUUGAAGACUACAUUCUCCUGUGAAGCAAGCAUUCCUAAAGG
rnacentral:lncRNA from 1 species